rnacentral:rRNA from 1 species
UACGAGGGGGGCAAGCGUUAUCCGGAUUUACUGGGCGUAAAGGGCGCGUAGGCGGCCUGAUAAGUAGGGGGUGAAAUCCUGCGGCUUAACCGCAGGGCUGCCUUCUAAACUGUCAGGCUUGAGCACAGUAGAGGCAGGUGGAAUUCCCGGUGUAGCGGUGGAAUGCGUAGAGAUCGGGAAGAACAUCAGUGGCGAAGGCGGCCUGCUGGGCUGCUGCUGACGCUGAGGCGCGACAGCGUGGGGAGCAAACAGG